rnacentral:rRNA from 1 species
UUAAAAGCAUGAACUAACACGGCGGCUGAAGUAUUAGGUGUUGAACUUUCUUAGUGGCGAACGGGGUGAGUAACGCGUGGGCAACCUGCCCUCUAGAUGGGGACAACAUCCCGAAAGGGGUNCUAAUACCGAAUGUGACAGCAAUCUCGCAUGAGGAUGCUGUGAAAGAUGGCCUCUAUUUAUAAGCUAUCGCUAGAGGAUGGGCCUGCGUCUGAUUAGCUAGUUGGUGGGGUAACGGCCUACCAAGGCGAUGAUCAGUAGCCGGUCUGAGAGGAUGAACGGCCACAUUGGGACUGAGACACGGCCCAGACUCCUACGGGAGGCAGCAGUGGGGAAUCUUCCGCAAUGGGCGAAAGCCUGACGGAGCAAUGCCGCGUGAGUGAUGAAGGAAUUCGUUCCGUAAAGCUCUUUUGUUUAUGACGAAUGUGCAGAUUGUGAAUAAUGAUCUGUAAUGACGGUAGUAAACGAAUAAGCCACGGCUAACUACGUG